CAAUCUUAAAGGCUGCUUGCUCUGGGUCACAAAGUGUGACAGUCAGGGGUGGGCACAACGCGUUGUUUAGCUGCUACGGGACAAAUGCAGAGCAGGUUAAAUUCACCAAACCUCAAGUAGAGAAAAGUGGACAAGGGACAACCUAGCACACGGGGCACCAUACAAAGAUGAAGACAAUCAAAUUAUUCCUAUCACAAACAGAAGUCAGGACCACCCCCAUUAUGUUGCGGCAGCGCACCUUAACACCUCUGAGGUAAUCUUGGAGUCCAGGGGAUGUGGCGUCCUUUGGGAAUUCUUAUUUGCAGCAAGUUCG